AUUCCAGCUCCAAUAGCGUAUAUUAAAGUUGUUGCGGUUAAAAAGCUCGUAGUUGGAUUUCUGCAUGGAAGGAGCGGUCCACCCUUUGGGUGAGUUACUGCUACCUUUUGUGCAUCUUCCUGAGAAGGCGUUCUUCACUUCAUCGUGAGGCCGCAUGACUCAGGACGUUUACUUUGAGGAAAUGAGAGUGUUUCAAGCAGGCAAAUGCCUUGAAUACGUUAGCAUGGAAUAAUAGCAUCGGACCAUCGUCCAGCUGUUGGUGUCUGGGCGAAGGUAAAGGUGAAUAGGGAUUGUUGGGGGCAUUCGUAUUUAACUGUCAGAGGUGAAAUUCUUGGAUUUGUUGAAGACGGACUAAUGCGAAAGCAUCUGCCAAAGAUGUUCUCAUCG
rnacentral:rRNA from 1 species